rnacentral:rRNA from 1 species
UACGUAGGUGGCAAGCGUUGUCCGGAUUUACUGGGCGUAAAGGGCGUGCAGGCGGUCUUCUAAGUCUUGUGUGAAAUCCCUCGGCUUAACUGAGGAACUGCACGGGAUACUGGAAGACUUGAGUUCGGGAGAGGGAAGCGGAAUUCCGGGUGUAGCGGUGAAAUGCGUAGAUAUCCGGAGGAACACCGGUGGCGAAGGCGGCUUCCUGGACCGAUUACUGACGCUGAGGCGCGAAAGCUAGGGGAGCAAACGGG